GUGGUUGUAGCUCAGAGGUAGAGCACUCGCCUAGAACGCAUGAGACUCUGGGUUUGAUCCUCAGCACCACA
rnacentral:tRNA from 1 species